rnacentral:rRNA from 1 species
UACAUGGGGUGCAAACGUUGCUCGGAAUUAUUGGGCGUAAAGCGCACGUAGGCGGUUCGUUAUGUCGGAUGUGAAAGCCCUUGGCUUAACCGAGGAAGUGCAUCCGAAACUGGCGAGCUAGAGUACUAAAGAGGAUCGCGGAAUUCCCGGUGUAGAGGUGAAAUUCGUAGAUAUCGGGAGGAACACCGGUGGCGAAGGCGGCGAUCUGGGUAGAUACUGACGCUGAGGUGCGAAAGCGUGGGGAGCAAACAGG